GGAAAGGCACACAUUAGGAAGUGGAAGGGGAAUGGGAAAGGGGGGAAGAAACAAGAUGUGGUAACUGACGUGUUCCAUUGAAGACUGAAUUAUUAUUGAGGGUAGGGUUCUAUAUUUUGUCCUUUUGGUGAUGUAACAUUGAAUUGGAAGCUUAUUAUUAUUAUUAUUAUUAUUUCAAUACCUUUAUUUUUUCCAUAA